CCAGCCUCGGGCUGGCUGUUGACAGAAGCGCGCAAGGUGCAUCUUUAUGCUCUACAUCAAACGCCUUUGACACAGACUUAAAAAAGUCUAUGUAAAGCAGCUAAUGGUGCUCGCUCUUCCGGCUGAGUAAGUCGGGGAACCAGAUUUUGCUGGAAGUAGAAGCCCUUUGCUCUGAGAACUGAUCUUUACUGCAUCAGUGAUGGAUGUCUUGGUGCAGCCCAGGUCUGGACAUUCAUAGCACAGUGUGAUCUCCAUGCUACUGGAGGAGCUGGUGAAGGUCCAUAACUCCAGAAAAGCAGGGAUUCCUUUAUUUUGGAUUCUUCCGAAAUCCACACUUAUGGCAAUAGUGACUCUGAGAAUUGAACUUACCAUUUUUUUUAUGUCUGGCAAAAUCAUCCUUGAAAUCAUCAGGAAUUUUGUGUGUAUGAAGCUAAAAGUAAAUCAGGACUUCAAGGUUUGAUUCCAAACAAUUCAAAAGGGUCUUAGGGUUUUUAUUUAAUUUGGAUGAAGUGAACUUGAAGGGAAAGUUCAAUCACUAAAAAUUAAUAUGGCUCUUCCCCAUGCAUUGAAUUAAAGAAGAUGGACUUGGAGAAAACUUAAUGAGAUAUAUGACCCAACCCUUUGCAUCACACACAGUAAAGGUUGUACUAAGCCAGCCAUAAACUCCAUUUUUAUCUUAUGCAUCUCUACUGGUGCCUUAAUUAUCUCAAUAGGCAGUUGUUGUGAUUGCCAGGAAAGCUGUCAUCAACUGUACCACUGCAAUAAUUUUUAUGUUUCUCUUUGUGCAAAGAUUCUUUCAUUUAGAAGAAGUCACAGGAAAAUGUUCAUGUGUUAAAUGGAUUUUUUGGUCAGAUAGAUUUAUAAAAAUAAUAUGGCAGUGUAGAAAUUCCAGUGGCUCUUUCAUAUUUAGUUAAAUAAUAGAAUUAACUUGGUUCUAAUUUUUGUCAGUGCUAAAGCAUGCACUGAAUGGUAAAUGAUUUAGAAUGAUUUCUGGGUAAACUAAGACAAGUACUAAAACAGACUUGCAUAUCAAAUUUAUUAGAAAUCCUUCUUUUGAACUGUACUUUGGGUAAGAGAGUAUAAAAUUAAUCCAAUUUAAGUUUAUGUCAGAGUAGCAAACUAAUUACAAAUUCACAAAAUUAAUUGCCACAGAGUUACGGAAAUUGUUACAUGACUAUUUCAAAUAGUCCUGGAAGAAAUAAAAUUCUCUAAAGCCAGAGAUCA
rnacentral:lncRNA from 1 species